GUGAACGCUGGCGGUAGGCCUAACACAUGCAAGUCGAACGGCAGCACAGUAAGAGCUUGCUCUUACGGGUGGCGAGUGGCGGACGGGUGAGGAAUACAUCGGAAUCUACUUUUUCGUGGGGGAUAACGUAGGGAAACUUACGCUAAUACCGCAUAUGACCUACGGGUGAAAGCAGGGGAUCUUCGGACCUUGCGCGAUUGAAUGAGCCGAUGUCGGAUUAGCUAGUUGGCGGGGUAAAGGCCCACCAAGGCGACGAUCCGUAGCUGGUCUGAGAGGAUGAUCAGCCACACUGGAACUGAGACACGGUCCAGACUCCUACGGGAGGCAGCAGUGGGGAAUAUUGGACAAUGGGCGCAAGCCUGAUCCAGCCAUACCGCGUGGGUGAAGAAGGCCUUCGGGUUGUAAAGCCCUUUUGUUGGGAAAGAAAAGCAGCAGGUUAAUACCCCGCUGUUCUGACGGUACCCAAAGAAUAAGCACCGGCUAACUUCGUG
rnacentral:rRNA from 1 species